CGACAAGUAGGGCGGGACACGAGAAAUCCUGUCUGAAUAUGGGGGGACCAUCCUCCAAGGCUAAAUACUACUGACUGACCGAUAGUGAACUAGUACCGUGAGGGAAAGGUGAAAAGCACCCCGACGAGGGGAGUGAAAGAGAUCCUGAAACCGAAUGCCUACAAGCAGUCGGAGCCUGCUCCUUGGAGCGGGUGACGGCGUACCUUUUGUAUAAUGGGUCAGCGAGUUGGUGUGCCGAGCAAGCUUAAGCCGUUAGGUGAAGGCGCAGCGAAAGCGAGUCUGAAUAGGGCGAAAUGAAUGUCACUGGUUAUAGACCCGAACCCGGGUGAUCUAACCAUGUCCAGGAUGAAGCUUGGGUAACACCAAGUGGAGGUCCGCACCGACUGAUGUUGAAAAAUCAGCGGAUGAGGUGUGGUUAGGGGUGAAAUACCAAUCGAACCCGGAGCUAGCUGGUUCUCCCCGAAAUGUGUUUAGGCGCAGCGGUAGUGAUUAUAGUUUGGGGGUAAAGCACUGUUUCGGUGCGGGCGGCGAAAGCUGUACUAAAUCGAGACAAACUCAGAAUACCAGAUGCACACACAACCAGACAGACGGUGGGGGAUAAGCUUCAUCGUCAAGAGGGAAACAGCCCAGACCACCAGCUAAGGUCCCCAAAUUGUCACUAAGUGAUAAAGGAGGUGGGAGUGCAAAGACAACCAGGAGGUUUGCCUAGAAGCAGCCAUCCUUAAAAGAGUGCGUAAUAGCUCACUGGUCAAGCGCUCCUGCGCCGAAAAUGAACGGGGCUAAGUGACGUACCGAAGCUGUGGAU
rnacentral:rRNA from 1 species